UCAUUCCAAGCAGAUGUGGGUGAGAGAUCACAGUCGCUCGUACAGAUUUAGGGCAAAGGUCACUGUUAACUCUCUGCAGAUUCUCAUGGGCUUCCCGGUCCCUCUUUUUGGGACACGCCACCUCAGAAGUUGGCUCCCAUGUUAGCCUCUCUCGUCUGUUGGGAACCUGCCUCCUGCGUGGGUCACAUUGUCCCUGCAAAGCUUGUAUCCCACUAACAAGCACAGAGGCUGGGCAGCCUACGUGGAGGCUGCGUGUGAGGGAACCGUUUCCAGGUGGCUGCAUGAGAAGACCAAGAGGCAUGGCCUUAAGUCACUCCUACAGAAUGGCCCAACGUUUGCACAGAACCCGUGUACGUCCUGUGCGUACUGGAUAAUGUGAUAUUUGACACAAGUAGGCAGACCUACGGGGACAAUAACAAGGGACUCAGUUCGGGGGUCUUUUUCUCGAAUAUCUUCUACCCAGGGUUAGCAGGAUCUAUGCACGAGGAAGGAACCCCUGGGCAUUUAAGCUCAGUGAUAGCCUGGAAAAAGGAGGAAGGAAGAGGAAGAUGGCAGAGCAGGGGGGAGGGGAAGAAGAGAGAGGAGGGAAUGCGUAGUAGAAGCCACCCAGGCCAGGGUUGGGCUCAGAACUCCGAUCUGGACCAAGAGGCCCAGGUGUCCUUGCUGCCAGUGCCCCUCCUGCCUCUGUUUGGGCUCCUCCACUUAGUGACACUCCCUACCUCCUGCUCAACUGGGCCCCAUGUUGUUUCUCUAAAGCCACACCAGCAAGCCUGACUUGGCUACUCCGUGGGAUUCACUACCUGGACCUCGCCUAUGGGGGGGUGCUAAAUCCACUUGGAUCAUCUAGCUACUGUGUGAGUGGAUUUCAAGGUUUCUAUACAUGGCACACCCUGGCCCCAUUCCCAGGAAGAAAGCCACCCUCUGAUCCAGAUCUCCGAGACCAGCAGGGUUAUGCUGCUCCUAUCGCACACAGUAGGUUCCUAAUAAACGUGAGCCGGCAAACA